rnacentral:rRNA from 1 species
UACGUAGGGGGCAAGCGUUGUCCGGAAUCAUUGGGCGUAAAGCGCGUGUAGGCGGCUUGGUAAGUCCGCUCUGAAGCCCGGGGCUCAACCCUGGAAAGCCGGUGGAUACUGUCGGGCUAGAGUCCGGAAGAGGCGAGUGGAAUUCCUGGUGUAGCGGUGGAAUGCGCAGAUAUCAGGAGGAACACCGAUAGCGAAGGCAGCUCGCUGGGACGGUACUGACGCUGAGGCGCGAAAGCGUGGGAGCGAACAGG